GGCCGCCUGGCGAAAUGGCAUCGCGUCUGACUACGAUUUAUCGCAAUCAGGAGAUUGCAGGUUCGACCCCUGCGGUGGUCA